rnacentral:rRNA from 1 species
CGGGGAAUAUUGCACAAUGGAGGGAACUCUGAUGCAGCAACGUCGCGCGCGGGAUGACGGCCUUCGGGUUGUAAACCGCUUUCAGCCAUGACGAAGCUUUUGUGACGGUAGUGGUAGAAGAAGCACCGGCUAACUACGUGCCAGCAGCCGCGGUGAUACGUAGGGUGCGAGCGUUGUCCGGAAUUAUUGGGCGUAAAGAGCUUGUAGGCGGUUUGUCGCGUCGAAAGUGUAAACUCAGUGCUUAACGCUGAGCCUGCUUUAGAUACGGGCUGAAUAGAGGAGGGUAGGGGAGAAUGGAAUUCCCGGUGGAGCGGUGGAAUGCGCAGAUAUCGGGAGGAACACCAGUGGCGAAGGCGGUUCUCUGGACCUUUCCUGACGCUGAGAAGCGAAAGCGUGGGUAGCAAACAGG